GCAAGCUUAACACAUGCAAGUCGAACGGAUUAUCUUUUAUAGCUUGCUAUGGAGGAUAAUUAGUGGCAGACGGGUGAGUAAUGCAUAGGAAUCUACCUAGUAGUAUGGGAUAGCCACUAGAAAUGGUGGGUAAUACUGUAUAAUCCCUGCGGGGGAAAGAUUUAUCGCUAUUAGAUGAGCCUAUGUUAGAUUAGCUAGUUGGUAGGGUAAAGGCCUACCAAGGCGAUGAUCUAUAGCUGGUCUGAGAGGAUGAUCAGCCACUCUGGAACUGAGAUACGGUCCAGACUCCUACGGGAGGCAGCAGUGGGGAAUAUUGGACAAUGGGCGCAAGCCUGAUCCAGCUAUGCCGCGUGAGUGAGGAAGGCCUUAGGGAAGUAAAACUCUUUCAGUAGGGAAGAUAAUGACGGUACCUACAGAAGAAGUCCCGGCAAACUCCGUGCCAGCAGCCGCGGUAAUACGGAGGGGGCAAGCGUUGUUCGGAAUUAUUGGGCGUAAAGGGCAUGUAGGCGGUUCGGUAAGUUAAAGGUGAAAUGCCAGGGCUUAAC
rnacentral:rRNA from 1 species